rnacentral:tRNA from 1 species
CAGGAAGUAGUUUAAAUAAAAUAUUAAUUUUGGAGAUUAAUGAAGAAGUAAUUAUCCUUCCUGA